UAUUAUCUAGAGUCCCGACCGGUACCCGUCCUACCUGAAACACCCUCAAAUUUUAUUCGAGGUGAACUCUCUCAAAUUCCCUAUCGGUGAAUACAUGUGAGUGGUGAAAAAAAGCAAAAUGGGGGAUUCCCCUUAUAAAGAAAUGUAUGGAAAUUUUGUGACCUGUCAAAAAUUACAAUCAAUUUUGCAAAACAAAACAAUGGGUUUCGGAUUUUAAGAACCAAAAAUCUUUAUAAUGAAGAGAGGAUAUACAAGUUCACUUAAUUAAAUAAAAAAUGCUGCCAAUAACAUACUAUAAUGCAGGAAGCAUUUUCCUUGAAGAAAUCUGGGAGACAAAGCAACAAGGUGCUGAUUUGCAGGCAAG